rnacentral:rRNA from 1 species
GACGAACGCUGGCGGCGUGCUUAACACAUGCAAGUCGAACGGAGCACCCUCGAAUGAGACUUCGGUCAAAGGAAAGGAAUGCUUAGUGGCGGACUGGUGAGUAACGCGUGAGGAACCUGCCUUUCAGAGGGGGACAACAGUUGGAAACGACUGCUAAUACCGCAUGACGCAUUCGGAUGGCAUCAUCUGAAUGCAAAAGAUUUAUCGCUGAAAGAUGGCCUCGCGUCUGAUUAGAUAGUUGGCGGGGUAACGGCCCGCCAAGUCGACGAUCAGUAGCCGGACUGAGAGGUGGACCGGCCACAUUGGGAAUGAGAUACGGCUCAGACUCCUACGGGAGGCAGCAGUGGGGAAUAUUGGGCAAUGGGCGCAAGCCUGACCCAGCAACGCCGCGUGAAGGAAGAAGGCUUUCGGGUUGUAAACUUCUUUUAAGAGGGAAGAGCAGAAGACGGUACCUCUUGAAUAAGCCACGGCUAACUACGUGCCAGCCGCCGCGGUAA